GGCUCAGGAUGAACGCUAGCUACAGGCUUAACACAUGCAAGUCGAGGGAAACGAUAGAGAAAGCUUGCUUUUUCUAGGCGUCGACCGGCGCACGGGUGAGUAACGCGUAUCCAACCUGCCCAUCACUUGGGGAUAACCUUGCGAAAGUAAGACUAAUACCCAAUGACGUCUCUAGAAGACAUCUGAAAGAGAUUAAAGAUUUAUCGGUGAUGGAUGGGGAUGCGUCUGAUUAGCUUGUUGGCGGGUAACGGCCCACCAAGGCGACGAUCAGUAGGGGUUCUGAGAGGAAGGUCCCCCACAUUGGAACUGAGACACGGUCCAAACUCCUACGGGAGGCAGCAGUGAGGAAUAUUGGUCAAUGGACGAGAGUCUGAACCAGCCAAGUAGCGUGCAGGAUGACGGCCCUAUGGGUUGUAAACUGCUUUUAUAAGGGAAUAAAGUGAGUCUCGUGAGACUUUUUGCAUGUACCUUAUGAAUAAGGACCGGCUAAUUCCGUG
rnacentral:rRNA from 1 species